UUUACCUUAUUUGAACAAGAUCUGUUCUAUAGGAUCAUACCAUUUAUUCUUGAGUUUUAAGGAGAUAGGAAAUUAUGUUUGGUUGAUGAACCAUGGCCAGUUGACUAGAGUAUGAUUAACAGCUUCUAUGGCCUCUUCUAUGGUCUUUUGGCUAGUGACAGGCA
rnacentral:snoRNA from 1 species